rnacentral:lncRNA from 1 species
CGAGACUUGACAAGCUUUGGCGAGGGUAUGGUUAGCAGACCGCUAUCGCUGCCUCCACCGCCACUACGUACGUUAGUAUCAUCCACUGCAAAGCCAUUUCUUCUCUCUCUCUCUCUCUUUCUCUUGUCCUCGUCGUUCGCUGUAUAUACGUGCUUUGUUUGUGAGUUUGGGAAUUUGCUUAACAACGAAGCCCACGAAGG